AACGAACGCUGGCGGCAUGCCUAACACAUGCAAGUCGAACGAGAGCUUCGGCUCUAGUGGCGCACGGGUGCGUAACGCGUGGGAAUCUGCCCUUGGGUUCGGAAUAACAGUUGGAAACGACUGCUAAUACCGGAUGAAGUCGAUAAGACCAAAGAUUUAUCGCCCGAGGAUGAGCCCGCGUCGGAUUAGCUAGUUGGUGGGGUAAAGGCCUACCAAGGCGACGAUCCGUAGCUGGUCUGAGAGGAUGAUCAGCCGCACUGGGACUGAGACACGGCCCAGACUCCUACGGGAGGCAGCAGUGGGGAAUAUUGGACAAUGGGCGCAAGCCUGAUCCAGCAAUGCCGCGUGAGUGAUGAAGGCCUUAGGGUUGUAAAGCUCUUUUACCCGGGAAGAUAAUGACUGUACCGGGAGAAUAAGCCCCGGCUAACUCCGUGCCAGCCGCCGCUGUAAGAC
rnacentral:rRNA from 1 species